rnacentral:rRNA from 1 species
AAGCUCGUAGUUGAAUUUCGGGGUUCUACCGUUGGUCGGGCUAACCAGUCUGUACUAGCGUGUAGAAUUCCUACCUUCUGGGGAACCAUCAUGUUAUUAAUUUAGCGUGGUGGGAAACCAGGACCUUUACCUUGAAAAAAUUAGAGUGUUCAAAGCAGGCUUACGUCUGAAUACAUUAGCAUGGAAUAAUAAAAUAGGACGGUGGUCCUGUUUUGUUGGUUUCUGAAUCACCGUAAUGAUUAAUAGGGAUAGUUAGG